rnacentral:lncRNA from 1 species
GUGCGACUUGCUCUCCGGGCGCGGUGGCGGCGCUCUCCCCCCAUGGUUUGGAUCCAGCGCAGGGUGGCGUGGAUCUGGCGCGGGGUGGCGAGAUCCGGCACGGGGCGGCAUGGAUCUAGAUAUGUGCCUAUCAAGCAAUGGUGACAGCGACGACGUACUCUAGAUGGGUUGAGCGGGCCUAUGGAUGGGCUCGCCAGGCCUACCAUGGAUUUUUCUUUUUUUAUUUUUUUAUUAGAUUAACCAAGGCGGGUAGGAAAACGCCUAAGAAAAUAUCUUUAUUUACCGUGACCUUUCAUCCGAGACGUUUUCUUUGCCCGCCUCGGUUAAUCCAAAAUGACCGCCUCGGAAAAGAUUUUCUAUAGUAGUGGCCACCAAGAUCAAGUAACUAUGUCCGGUGUCCAUGCGCUCCCUCCUGUCCUCGAAUACACUCGCCGAGCUUGAUCAUGACCAAGGCCCGAUGUGGCCGAAUAUGGGUGAGCUGGGACCCGUCCUUUGCUGUAUUGGUGGUUGGAUUCAUGCUCCAAUGAGGCCUUUGUUGUAAAGUGUUGUCCACACUUCACCACACAAAAUGCAGAGAGUGUUGUUCAAACAGAGGUAGAAGGGUGGUGAAGGAGAUGAGAGAUAGAGUGAUGACAUGUGGGCCUGCAUGGGAGGAAGCUAAGUGUUGAAAGAGAUGAGAGUGGGAUAACAAGGGAGCCCCAAAGCUAGGUGCAGUCAGCAACCACAUCGGCAAUCUAUCACAAACAAUAAUAAUUUAAUACCCCGUGACCUGUAUCAAGUUUUUGGACCUGGAUAUGUAAGGUUGAAAAGUUUAGGACCUAAAUGACCUCACGGUGCAAAUUUAGUUACUGAAUUGAACAUGUCAUGUUCAGGUCAGCGUUGUU